CCUUUGUUGCUGCUGAUCUCCUUCUCACUUGGUGUAGGAGAUAGAGAUUCCAAGCAAGCUUCCUCAUCACUAAAGAAAUCCCCUUCAAACUCAAGAUCAGGUCUUAUUAGGGAUUCUUUCUUUUUCUCAACAGAUGCAAGGGGUAUAGCUUCUUCUAUAGUUCCAAUACUCCCCACAUACAUUAUCCCAUAAUGUUUCAACUCACCAGAAUCAUCAGAUAUAACUCCACAAAACCCAGCAAGAGGAGGCUUAAGAGGAUAAGAUACUUCAUCAUCUACCUUAGCAAGCACCACUCUUUGAGUAUCAAAGUCCAUCCUUGCUCCUGUGGUGUUCAGAAAUGGAG
rnacentral:lncRNA from 1 species